rnacentral:rRNA from 1 species
UACGUAGGGACCAAGCGUUGUUCGGAUUUACUGGGCGUAAAGGGCGCGCAGGCGGCAGACCAAGUCAGGCGUGAAAGCCCCGGGCUUAACCUGGGAACUGCGUCUGGGACUGGUAUGCUAGAGUUCGGGAGAGGGAAGUGGAAUUUCCGGUGUAGCGGUGAAAUGCGUAGAUAUCGGAAGGAACAUCAGUGGCGAAAGCGACUUCCUGGACCAAUACUGACGCUCAUGUGCGAAAGCGUGGGGAGCAAACAGG